GAUGAACGCUGGCGGCGUGCUUAACACAUGCAAGUCGAACGGAAAGGCCGAAGCUUGCUUCGGUACUCGAGUGGCGAACGGGUGAGUAACACGUGGGUGAUCUGCCCUGUACUUCGGGAUAAGCUUGGGAAACUGGGUCUAAUACCGGAUAUGACAAUCUCUUGGAUGGGGUUGUGGAAAGCUUUUGCGGUAUGGGAUGAGCUCGCGGCCUAUCAGCUUGUUGGUGGGGUAAUGGCCUACCAAGGCGUCGACGGGUAGCCGGCCUGAGAGGGUGUACGGCCACAUUGGGACUGAGAUACGGCCCAGACUCCUACGGGAGGCAGCGGUGGGGAAUAUUGCACAAUGGGCGCAAGCCUGAUGCAGCGACGCCGCGUGGGGGAUGACGGCCUUCGGGUUGUAAACUCCGUUCGCAACCGACGAAGCUUUUUGUGACGGUAGGUUGAGAAGAAGCACCGGCUAACUACGUG
rnacentral:rRNA from 1 species